GGAGUUGAUUAUAAAUUGUAUGAUUUUAACUGUAUUUGUGUUUAGAUUGGCUGCAGUAAUGCUGGAGCUGCCUAAGUCAGAGGAGUCCUCCAUGUGCGUUGCCAUGGAGACCGAUGCAGGAGAGAGGGAAGUGGGAGGAGCUUAGAGGGGAGAGUUUGAAAAAACGACAGUUAAAAAUCAGUUAGGGUUUAGGUUUAGAGGAGUGAGCAGUCAGGAGUUAGGUUCAGAGGAGUGAGGAGUUAGGAGUUGGGAGAGAAGGAAAGGAAAGGUGGCGGAGUGACUUGUGAAGCAAAGCUUUGAGGCUUUGAAAAGCUGGGUUUGGCUAUUGGAAGUUUCUCAGGCUAGUGCAGCUGAAUGGUGAAACAGAGCUGGUAUUCUUUUAGUCUAAGGAGAGGCUAAAGAAUAGUUUACUUAGUAUUUGAUCUAGGGAGGAUCAAACAAGGGAAACAUCCCUGUAUUGAAACUUUGUCUGAAACAAGUGCUCUACGUCAGAAAGAUACUGUGUUACUUGAAAGAAUGAACUGUUAAAGUUACAAGUAUUAUUCCAAGUGCAACAAGGAAAAGUUACGUCUUGCAACCACACGCUGUGUACUUAAUAAAAUUGUUAACUUUUAUUUGAA